GGCACAGCUUAUUCAGGUUUAUAUAGAAAUUCACAAGGAUGUCUGGAGGCAGAGCAGGGCUGAACAUUUUCGUGAGACCACUGGAGGCAAUUUCUGGCAGAGUCAGAGUGGCUGGAGUGGUGAGUCGAUUCCGUGCUCUUGAGAGCUGUAACAUCACAGCAUCCAUAAGCUUAAGAACCUCUGAGCCUGUCUUGAAGUGGUAGUUUACAUCUCUGUUCAUAAGCAGGUAAAUUGCUUGGUUAACAUGGUUUCUAG
rnacentral:lncRNA from 1 species